AUGGUAAUAUCUUAUCCAGGGAUUCUCUCUCUUUCUCUCGAAAGCUCCAGCACAAAGAGGCUUGUACAGCAGCCAACAUCUCGCCCAGCCCGGGGUCCCUGCGCCGCGGUUUCUCAUGGAAAUCAGAAGCCUCUUUUUGAUCCACAUCCAGAAUAGGGUUUAAGACAGGUAAAUGGAACCUUGCAUCAUUUCCAAUGCUCCCCAAAGGGAAUGCAGUAAAAAUGCUGGUUUACAUCUCUGCCUUUAAACCACCAUUUUCUCUAAAAUAUGGGAAUUAGGAGCAAUGCUAGGGGGGAAAGGGACAGGGGCGCGGAAGAGGGCAGAGAAAGUCCAGGCUAUGAAGGGGACUUUAUUCCACCCGUUCUUGUCUGCAAAGAGUUAAUCUGACAGAUGCUACCAUAGAGCAUUUUGGGGUGUCAUUUUCACAUCCACUAUUGCUCUGCCACCUUUUGCAUUGGAAAAUCUAUCCCAGCCCUGGCAAGUCUAGAAAUAAUGGGAUAUUUCAUUCCUAGCAGCUUCUCAAAACCCUAAGGAAAGCCCCUGCUCUGCCUUCUUAAAAAUACAUCAGAUGCCACAAUCAAACUAGUUACUGAAUGCCCGGCUAGUGCAAUAGGCAAAGGAAGGCUUGCUUCAGAGCCAGACGCAGCCACUCCUGGAGUGCAGUAGCAUCCGACAAUUCCGAUUUCACACUCUGCCAGGAAUCAAAAUGAAGGAACACGAAGUCCGGCCGUGGCAGAGUGAGGGGCAAUGCCCAGACUGGGGAAGUGUAGAACAGCGCAGAAUGCCCAGAACCUUGCAUCUUAGCAAUCAUGGUGUGUAAGUGACUAUAACUCCGCCCUGAAGAAAGCCAUUCCCUCUCCCCACUCUGCUGCUCUGCUCACCUCCGCUCAUCACACAGGCUGCUCGUGUGACAUGACUCGUGUAGAGUGGUCUCUUGUUCCUUUGUGCAUUCUGCUCCGACCGAGUGCAAAGCUGGGCUUCAGUCCUGGCUUCCUUUCUGUUUAUCUCUUGCUUAACCUGAACAAUACGGCUGCAUGUUCACAUCUGCAGCAUCCCCACAUGCUCCGCUAGCUAACGCUCCCUGCAAGCAGGGUAUACACAAGCCAACCGGCAGCCCAGACUGCAACCAGUUCAGUGGGGCACAAAACGAACAUUUUGUUAACUGCCGCUGUCAUUCAUUCUCUCCACUCGAUUCCCAGGAACACACUCCACUUAUGGCCCAACAAAGGGAGUGUGCUAAAGCUCUCAGUUCAGGGGCAACGGGGCAUUACCUACCUUUAGAGAACCCAGCCUCCAUCUUAGGGCCCCAUGCAGGGAAACCCUUUGCUACAGUUCUUAUGGGCUUCCACUGUAUCUAUUCUAGCAGUGCAGGCAACCUUCCUACGGACUCCCAAGGAAGGCCCAGGUCCUAAGGACUAUCCUCAGUGCAUGGUGUUCAGCAAGUGCAUGCAUGCCGGGGCCUCCUCAGGAGAGCCUUUUUCAUAGAGACGGCUCAUUGUUAGAGGUAAUAAUAACAACUGGCUGACAGCCGUAUCCAUCAGAGACUGUGCUACAGUCGUCCCUGCCCAUUUCCAGAGGGGUUUAGCCAGGGCUAUGGUUGUUAUGUUCAUAUUGGUUUUGAACACAAAUCAUUAGCAAAGUCUGACUCUAGUGGCAGCUGUCAGCUGACUGUACUUCAGCUAAAUACAAGAGUGGGGCCAGACCCCAGUCACAGAUAUCCUGGGGGAAAUCCAGAGUGACUCCUUUGAAGAUGAAGCCUCUCAUGUAACUGAGAUCAGAAUCCGACCCAAUCUCUCUGUAGCUUUAGCUGCUACCGAGAGUGUGAAGAUUUGCAGCAGUGCACGAGGCCGAGCGGGCUAGGAUAUUACGAUCUGAAAUGGGUAAUUGUUUGGUGUGGCCUUUCUAUGCCUCCUUCACUGUCAUUCAUACACACACCUGGGGAUAGGUGUGCAUGGGCUCCAGGAAACUCAGAGAGGGCUCCUUUCUAGCGCUGCUGGUGGGAAGAGCUGCAGGGGGGUAGGAGUAAUUUCCUGGGAGCUAGAUUCUGCCCCCAAGUGACUAGCACGAGGUCUGUCGUCCUCUGCAAGCGAGCUCAAUGCUGGAAGCCAACGGAGCGUGUCUGUGGCUUUGUCUCCUAGUGACACAGAGAGGACACAGGUCCUUUUUCAGCAUCACUUUGGAUACAGUGUAACAAAAUAUGCUUCAAUGGUUCUUGGCAUUCUGCCCCACCUGUCCCCAUGUUCACACCACACAGAGACACACACACUGUGCGAAUGUACAUACAAGUUAGAGGUGGUCGAAACACCUGAUUGCAUCAAAAAAGUUUUUUUUUCCAAAAAUCAAAUUUUGAUGAAAAAUGUAAUUGAAAAUCAGAAAAUUUGGACCAACUUUAAAAAUUUAGUCAGCUCUGAAAACAACUCAGGUGCACACACACACACACACACACACACAUCAGGUAGGGAAGCAGCUAGUGCACGGGAAAUCUAGGCAGCAGACAGCCGCAGCAAAUGGAGAUACACAGCUAUCUCGAAAUGGUUCCAGACCCACCCUCCGCUUUUGCUGCAGAGAAUCAGAUUUUGUACAGAUUCCACACCCCAGACUAAGGCCUGGCUCCCUCUCCCAGGACAGGGGCAUGGUUCCUUUUGUUGCUGUCUGUGAUAGUGUGAAUCACGUGCAGGUGUUAGUGGGAGUAGCCCCGUAGGAAGGCAUGACCAUGAGCACAGGUUCUGGAUCAUGGCACAAGUAGCCGGGGACCCAGCCAGGGGCUGCUGGUGUCUGGAAAUCUUCUCCUUUUGCGUAAGCAGUGUCAGCAAAGGGACUCCUGCUGCAUGCCAGGGGCCAGGGUUUUGCUCUUUCUGAACUGAAGAUACACUGCCCUGACCCUCACCCACAUCAGGCCUGUUCCUCCCCGCUGUGCAGCCGGACGGCAGGGAGCUCACAGCAUUGUGGCAGGCCCAGCGCUCCGUGGCUCAGAGCUGCGGCCCCCAAUUAGCCCGCGUUCCGCUUUCAUCUUCUCUCUCCUUGGGAAUGUAAAGCUGGCUCCUUCCUAAGUCAUGAAUGGAAGUGAGUCCAGCCAUCGCCCGAGUGACCCAGCGAGCCCCACUCUGACGCCGCACACGCCGCUGGCAGAAGCCAUUUUUAAUGAAGAGGAUUUGAUCAAAUGAGACAGCAAGCGACUCUGGAGAAAGCCGGGGGCUUGGCUUCUGCAUGCCCUAGCCCUGGAGAUGCCUAAGCCAAAGGGGCUCCUUCGGAGGGGACUUGCAUGCAGACGUGGACGGCACCACUGGCCACCCCUUUCCUCGUCCAGUCUCUGCGGUCGUUUUCUCCUAGCUUAGGGUCGGUGUGGCCCCAGAGGAUCACAGUCCAUCCGUGUCUGUAUCCCCAGGGACAGAGCCAGUGAAGGGGACUUUCUUUAGCAGGAGAGGCUCUGCACCUUCCCCUGAAAGCACCUUGUCUGGAAGAGGGGCGUAUAGCCCUCAUGCCAGAGACGCACGGCAGCCCAGCCCUGCCCAGCCCAACCCAGCCCAGGGACGGGGAGCCUCUGGCACAGUCUCCUCUGAGCCCCCGUAUCCCACAGGGCGGCAGAGCAUCGCAGAUGAGACUCUCCUGCUGGGUUACUUAUUAGUAUGGGGCUUCCCUUUGGUGCCACCUGGGCCCCGGGGAGCUGGGUGGCCGCGGAAGGUGCUGCAUGCUGUUCUCUUUUGCUGCGUUGGUUGCUUUCUUUUGCAGCUGCUAAUGACUGACCUGAGGUCUGUUCACACACAGUCCCCUGCGUGGCCGGAGCAGCAAGACAAGAUGGGGGGUUAUUUUACAGUGUUCUCGUAGCCAGUGGCGCCAGAGACACGUCUGCUUGAGGGAUGCUCCGUCUCGCUCCCGGUGGGAUUCCUGAGC